rnacentral:rRNA from 1 species
UUAAUUAGGAGACCAUUACCGAGUUGAUUCGGGCUCCGGCCCGAUCCUCCCACCCUUUGUGUACCUACCUCUGUUGCUUUGGCGGGCCGCGGUCCUCCGCGGCCGCCCCCCUCCCCGGGGGGGUGGCCAGCGCCCGCCAGAGGACCAUCAAACUCCAGUCAGUAAACGAUGCAGUCUGAAAAACAUUUAAUAAACUAAAACUUUCAACAACGGAUCUCUUGGUUCUGGCAUCGAUGAAGAACGCAGCGAAAUGCGAUAAGUAAUGUGAAUUGCAGAAUUCAGUGAAUCAUCGAAUCUUUGAACGCACAUUGCGCCCUUUGGUAUUCCGAAGGGCAUGCCUGUUCGAGCGUCAUUACAACCCUCAAGCUCUGCUUGGUAUUGGGCACCGUCCUUUGCGGGCGCGCCUCAAAGACCUCGGCGGUGGCGUCUUGCCUCAAGCGUAGUAGAACAUACCAUCUCGCUUCGGAGCGCAGGGCGUCGCCCGCCGGACGAACCUUCUGAACUU